CAGGUUGAAGCGAGGGUAAAACCUCGUGGAGGACCGAACCACGUUGCUGUUGAAAAAGCAUGGGAUGAGCUGUGGAUAGCGGAGAAAUUCCAAUCGAACCCGGAGAUAGCUGGUUCUCUCCGAAAUAGCUUUAGGGCUAGCGUCGAGUAUGAGUAGUGGAGGUAGAGCACUGAAUGGGCUAGGGGGCAUAGCGCUUACCGAACCUUAUCAAACUCCGAAUGCCACAUACUUUGAGCUCGGCAGUCAGACUACGAAUGAUAAGAUCCGUGGUCAAAAGGGAAACAGCCCAGAUCGUCAGCUAAGGUCCCAAAGUGUAAGUUAAGUGGGAAAGGAUGUGAGAUUUCUAAGACAACUAGGAUGUUGGCUUAGAAGCAGCCAUUCAUUAAAAGAGUGCGUAAUAGCUCACUAGUCGAGAGAUCUUGCGCCGAAAAUGUAACGGGGCUAAACUUACCACCGAAGCUACGGGCUUGAACAUAGUUCAAGCGGUAGGAGAGCGUCGUAACCGGGCUGAAGUCGUACCGUAAGGAGCGGUGGACUGGUUACGAGUGAGAAUGUUGGCAUCAGUAGCGAGAUGUGGGUGAGAAUCCCACAGGCCGAAAACCUAAGGUUUCCUCAGGAAGGUUCGUCCGCUGAGGGUUAGUCGGGACCUAAGCCGAGGCCGAAAGGCGUAGGUGAUGGACAACUGGUUGAUAUUCCAGUACCACUACCAUCGUUAUUAUCGAUGGCGUGACGCAGGAGGAUAGUGUGUGCUAGCUAUUGGAUGCUAGUCUAAGCGUUUAGGCAGUGAGAGUAGGCAAAUCCGCUCUCAUAAUGCUGAGGCGUGAUGGGGAAGGUUCUACGGAACCGAAGUACAUGAUUCCACGCUGCCAAGAAAAGCGUCUAGAGAGAGAAGUAGUGCCCGUACCGCAAACCGACACAGGUAGGUGAGGAGAGAAUCCUAAGGCCGGCGGAAGAAUUACAGUUAAGGAACUCGGCAAAUUGACCCCGUAAGUUCGCGAGAAGGGGUGCCUACGAGAGUAGGCCGCAGAGAAUAGGCCCAAGCAACUGUUUAGCAAAAACACAGGUCUCUGCUAAAGCGUAAGCUGAUGUAUAGGGGCUGACGCCUGCCCGGUGCUGGAAGGUUAAGGGGAACACUUAGCGCAAGCGAAGGU
rnacentral:rRNA from 2 species